rnacentral:rRNA from 1 species
AUUGAACGCUGGCGGCAGGCCUAACACAUGCAAGUCGAACGGUAACAGGAAGCAGCUUGCUGCUUUGCUGACGAGUGGCGGACGGGUGAGUAAUGUCUGGGAAACUGCCCGAUGGAGGGGGAUAACUACUGGAAACGGUAGCUAAUACCGCAUAACGUCUCAAGACCAAAGAGGGGGACCUUAGGGCCUCUUGCCAUCGGAUGUGCCCAGAUGGGAUUAGCUAGUAGGUGGGGUAACGGCUCACCUAGGCGACGAUCCUUAGCUGGUCUGAGAGGAUGACCAGCCACACUGGAACUGAGACACGGUCCAGACUCCUACGGGAGGCAGCAGUGGGGAAUAUUGGACAAUGGGCGCAAGCCUGAUGCAGCCAUGCCGCGUGUAUGAAGAAGGCCUUCGGGUUGUAAAGUACUGUCAGCGGGGAGGAAGGGAGUAAAGUUAAUACCUUUGCUCAUUGACGUUACCCGCAGAAGAAGCACCGGCUAACUCCGUG